ACCCUCACCUAGUGGCUAGGAUUUGUCGCUCUCAUGUGUCCCUGUAGACACAGAGGCCCGACAAGGCCGGGGUUCGAUUCCCCGCAACGGUU